UUCCUCCCCAUCCAGACCAGUUGUGCCAAAGCCAUGUGAGGAGCAGUAGAAGACUGACCAGACUGUUUCUUCUCAUCUGAAAGUUCAGGUCCAUGAGAAUUGUGACAUGUGACAAUGGGAUAUAGAUUUCAAUACCAUUUGGAUCUGCAUUGGGGUCUCCAGGAACCCUGGCAUCAAAGUCCAGUACUUCAGAACGUGUAAAUAAUGUUUCCUGGAAAGGUCACAAUCAGGUGCAUUGCCAAGUUUUGGUCACCUUUUGUGCUUUUGAGACGAUGGAGAUGUGUCUGUCUCUGCCCUGCAACAUUUAUUACCAAGAGUAUGCCAAAGUUGUAGAUGGUGAGUAAUUCCCUCUCGUCAGCAAAUGACAACUAGAAUAAUAAAAGAGUGUGUUGUCUCACUUGAUACAUUUUUUCCUGGAUUUGUCUUGCUGAUGGAAAAUGUUCAGAGGUAGAUUCCACCUUCUGAAUUAGUACAGAAAGUAUUGGUUGGAGGUGUGGUUUAGGUCAUGUUAAAGAAACUGAAGUGAGGUUUAUGUAACAAGUGAGAAAUGCAUAAAUAUUUUCUCUUGAAAUAAGAGUAUUACAAUUGGAAGGCUUAACCAACAACAAAGCUGAGGGUAAUAGCUUCAAACAGUCAACUCAGAAAAGUGUGAGUUUCCAUGACACCAAGACGAAUUUCUCCCUCAAAUGAGGAAACCAGCCAGCUGCCUUUGGGUGAGUAAAGUGACAGUGAUUGUGCUGCUAAUGCAACUGAGCAUCUGCUCCAGCUUCUUCUGUCCUCAGACACCAAACAAGUCAAAACACUGUGGUAAAAGUCUGUUUUGGAUAUCGAAUACUCUCGUACACCACACAGCAGGCAGCUCCUCUGGUGUGAUUCCCUUCUCUUAGUCCCUUCCUGCCCACACAAAAAGGGACAGUGUUAGUUUUAAAUAACUUAUUAUAUUUGGUGUAUUCAAGUGGUUAUUGCCCUUAUGUACAAUUCAGAGCAAUUUAAAUCUGUGUGUCCUGCUUUAGUCUGCAAACACUUGCUGUUCAGAUAUGCUUAGGAGUGCUGGAAGAGCACAGGCUCCAGAGCCUCCUGCAGUACUCCGUGAGCUGAUUCUCCAUUAAAUCCCUCCCAACACUGCUGAGACAGACCUUUGCUCACUUUGUGAGGCAGCAUCAGUGCCACUUGCUAAAAAUUGAGUGUUCAAUUGACAAUAAUGCAGAUGUUUCGUUCUGGUAGCACACUGACAAGGAGCCCUCACAUCCCAUUCCUUUCUGUGUUAAAACUAUUCCAAGCUUAGCCUGCUAUAUUAUGACCAGUUUACUGACUGCUCACCAUGUGCUGAGUUUAGAAGCAGUGAGGCCUUCCGAAGGGAUUCAAUGCAUAUAAUGUGUUUGGAGAAUGUAAGAUUAACACAAAAAGUGAGCUCUCUGCUAUGAGAUCAGAUGCUGGCAGUGACAGCUUCUAAAGGUGCUGCCUUCUUGAGGUGGCAUUUCAAAUAAGAGCUCAUUGAAAAUGAAAUGCACAAAGGCUUGCUGAAAAAAUAAAUCCAACUGAAAUUUUGGAUCCUCAUGCUCUCUCUGCUCUUUUUGAGAAAUGAAAUCUUCAGUGAUGUAUUUAUACCUGCAGAUGAAAAUACAUCUGAUUUGUCACAAAAUCAUUAACGAAUAUCCAACACUGUGUGCUCUGCCUAUAUAAAACUGAUCUGCUGGCAUGUGAGUCCAUAUGAUGAAUUUUCACUUGACUAGCUUCAAAAAUAUUUGGGAAUGUGUUUUCCUUUUCCCCUUUCAAGUCCCUUCUUCCUGCAGCUUUUUGUUGCUUGUGAGCUGCACAGACCCAAAAGCAGAUUAAACACCAUGAGUCAGAGUGUUCCACUCAGGAUUUCUUAGCCAAGAAUCAACAAUGGAGAAAAUCAUUUGCAUGGGUUUCUAGUCUAUGAAACAUCAUUCUGUCCCUUUGAAUUCUGAAACACAAAGAGAGAGGAUUUUAAUCUAAUUUUAAACCUGCAAGGUCCUGUCCUCUGAGCUUGUUUAGGUAAACGGACUUUGUGUAAUGAAAUCAUUAUUGCUUCCGGGAAUAAACAGAAUAAUACGUUUUUAAAAGCCUUGCCUACAUCAGAAUUGCUCCAUUUCUAGUUAUAGACUACAUUGAGCAGCAGAAUUACAAACCAAGUAAACAUCAGCUAGCCAGGACAGCAUUUUUAAAGGGUAGCUCUUAGAGAUGAAUUUAUGUCUGGUGGGAAGGGCUGCCUGAGCAGAAACCCCAGUUUAGAAGCGUGGGAGUCAGGCACACAGCAGCCUGUCCAUCUGGGCCUCUCCUCUGCACAGGCAAUGCCCAGUCAGUGGAGCCAUCCUGCUGCAGCAAGGCUCCAGCACUAUUCCACACACCCCUGGGAGUCCUUUCCCUGCACAGAUCCGGUAGCACCUCCUGCUGAGUGAGAUCGAGGGAAUGUUUCAGGCACUCCCGGGUUUUUGUGUAGCCCUGCCCUGGUGCUGCUGCUCUGCAUCCCUGAUGAAUUCCUGCUACAGCCCUGAGCACUUCAGAACUGCAAAGCACUGGUGAUAAUGGCAUUCAGCGCCGCAGAAAGCUCUGCCUCCCACUGCAUAUUCUACAUAUUAAAAAGGAGGGGAAAAACUGGCCCCCACAAAUUCCAGGCUCCAGCAUCAGGUCUGAAUCAUUAAUGAGAAGCAGCAGAUUCAGUUUCUCCUUAAGAGCAAAAUUUAUUGCAGUCUGAACUGUUGUACCUUGGGCUGGUGCCUGCACAGUGUUCUGUUGAUUUCUGUCUAGGUCACUGGAUUUGCCUGGAAAAUUGAAUGCCAUUCGAUUGGUGAAUUUGUGGGUUCUGGAUAGACUCUCAGCUAUAGAGGUAGUGGAAAACAGCCAUUAUUUCUCAGUCCCUUUUCCCCUGGUGGCACAAUGUGCAGUUACACGCUUGUUUCAGGGUGAACCUGCUCACACUGGAGUCCUUCCAGUGGGAGAGCAGCAGAUGAGGAUAUGGUCUCAUCUGCUGCCUUUACCAGCCCUUCCUUAAAGAGUAUAAUAGCUACAUAUGGCUCUGUGAGACUUACUCCUCAGUCCAUAUGGAGAAACUUCUGAGCAUGCGUUUACAAAGAAAACCAUACUUUCCUCAGGCCUGUGAGGGAGACUUUUCAGGAUAGCUCUCCGUCCAAGUCUCACUUCUUUGCCAAAACAGAUGUUAUAAUGUGCAUUUCCUGCAGCAGGUUUUUCUCUUAACAUUAUCUCACUCCCCCUCCCAGUGAGUGCCUCUACAUUCAUUAAAUAGAGUCUAAAUAUCUCAACAUCAUGUAAAUUACUUUAAAGCAAACAAACAACAAACCUCACGCACUUUCUCAUGGUAGUCUUUGGUUCAGAAAGCAGAGUGGCCCAUGGAUUCUGAGAACUCUUCCAUUGUGCAUGCCAGUGAUCAAAGGAUGCAGCUCUUGUUCUCUCACUGUUACAAGUAGGGUUGGUUUGAUCACAGUGGAUUUGCUUCCAGAAAAAAUGAAAAUCCAGUGAAGUAUCUCACACAGAUAGACAAGAUUCAUCGACCUGGGAAGAUCUCAUUCUGCUUCUUUGCACUGCAUAAUAUUUAGCUUACUUUUUACAGUUGAAUGCUUUCUAAUAGACACUGUUUAAAUUAAAAUAGUGCCAAUUAUUCAAUAUAUUAACAGUAUUAUAAUAGUCGGUGGGAAAUAUCCAGGAAUAAUUUGUGCUGGACAUAUUGCAGAAGUUGGUGAAGCCAGUAUUUUCCUUGAAAAGCAUGAAAGAUAAAGGACAUUAUAAUAUUUACAUUAUUAACAACUUGUUUUCUACAAGCACAAUGUAGGUGUAUGACAUUAUGAGUGUUUCUCCUGCACGAAAACCUGGAACUCAGAUAUAUUUGCUUUAUUAUGACUGGAAAAGUGAAAUUAAGUGAGGCAAGUAAAUGUCCUUCUUGUUUCUCACAGCUCACUGUGCAAGACAAGCUGCAGUUUGCAGCACUUUAUCUCUGUUUCACAGAGCCUUGUCUUUAAUUGUGUCUCAUUAAAUAGCAAUACAACACUGAACUGGCACCAUGAACGAGUGCUUCUCUAUCACCUGCUUGGGCUGAUCUUCUGUAGCUGAACUGUCCAAACUCUGCCAGUGCUCUCCAGCAAACACAGCGAGCAGGAAUGCUCCGAGGCUGAUCAAGAUUUCAGAUGUGCAGCUGUAGGUGUGGCUCCUGUGUCCACUGAAAACAGGCACCAAAUCUUUAUUUGUUUUCUUCAGCAGUUACAUUAAUACUGUUCAAAGGAAUUGAGCAUUCAGGUACAGGGUCUCCUGAAA